GGCGCAGUUGGUGGACCUGGUCGCGCUGUGCCGGGUGUGACACUACGGAGAGCAGAUUACAUUAUCAAAAGCACCAAGUUGAAACAUUUGCAAGGUGUGCAUCAUUUCACAAUUAUUGGCAAUGGUUCAAUGGUUUCAUCUGCUUUGAACGGUUUCUUCUCUAUCAUUAAGAGGUGAGGAAACUGAGCACUAAGACACUAAAUAACUUGCCCAGGGUCAUACGACAGACAUGAGAGGUUUAUAUCAGGCAGUCUCCACCCCUGUUCCGAAGUCAAGAGGCUGACUCGGGUUGCUACUUCUUGACAGACCGGACCCCAGAUCGCUCAUAUAGCUUGAAGAAGAAGAAGAAGAAGAAGAAGAAGAAGAAGAAGAAGAGGAAGAGGAAGAAGAGGAGGAGGAGGAGGAGGAAGAGGAAGAGAAGGAAGAGGAAGAGGAAGAAGAAGAUGAAGAAGAAGAAGGGCAACAACAACAACAUUGCGGCACAAAAAGCAUGAUUAAUCAGCGUAUCUCAAUAUCAUCUUGCUACAAGUAGUAAAAGGAUGAAUCUAGCCAAUGGUAGCAGGGACAUUCUCAGCACAAGAAACAGGUAUUUGCCUCGCACUGUAAGUUUAAUAAUUUUAAUAAAGAAAUGGCCCUGA
ensembl:lncRNA MAD2L1-DT MAD2L1 divergent transcript